rnacentral:rRNA from 1 species
ACGGGUGAGUAACACGUAGGUAACCUGCCCAUAAGACUGGGAUAACCCACGGAAACGUGAGCUAAUACCAGAUAGGCAUUUUCCUCGCAUGAGGGAGAUGAGAAAGGCGGAGCAAUCUGCCACUUAUGGAUGGACCUGCGGCGCAUUAGCUAGUUGGUAAGGUAACGGCUUACCAAGGCGACGAUGCGUAGCCGACCUGAGAGGGUGAUCGGCCACACUGGGACUGAGACACGGCCCAGACUCCUACGGGAGGCAGCAGUAGGGAAUCUUCCGCAAUGGACGAAAGUCUGACGGAGCAACGCCGCGUGAGUGAUGAAGGUUUUCGGAUCGUAAAGCUCUGUUGCCAGGGAAGAACGCCUAGGAGAGUAACUGCUCUUAGGGUGACGGUACCUGAGAAGAAAGCCCCGGCUAACUACGUGCCAGCAGCCGCGGUAAUACGUAGGGGGCGAGCGUUGUCCGGAAUUAUUGGGCGUAAAGCGCGCGCAGGCGGCAAUGUAAGUUGGUUUUUUAAACCUAGGGCUCAACCUUGGGUCGCAUCCAAAACUGCAUAGCUUGAGUACAGAAGAGGAAAGUGGAAUU